AGUGAACGCUGGCGGUAGGCCUAACACAUGCAAGUCGAACGGCAGCACAGUAAGAGCUUGCUCUUACGGGUGGCGAGUGGCGGACGGGUGAGGAAUACAUCGGAAUCUACUUUUUCGUGGGGGAUAACGUAGGGAAACUUACGCUAAUACCGCAUACGACCUACGGGUGAAAGCAGGGGAUCUUCGGACCUUGCGCGAUUGAAUGAGCCGAUGUCGGAUUAGCUAGUUGGCGGGGUAAAGGCCCACCAAGGCGACGAUCCGUAGCUGGUCUGGGAGGAUGAUCAGCCACACUGGAACUGAGACACGGUCCAGACUACUACGGGAGGCAGCAGUGGGGAAUAUUGGACAAUGGGCGCAAGCCUGAUCCAGCCAUACCGCGUGGGUGAAGAAGGCCUUCGGGUUGUAAAGCCCUUUUGUUGGGAAAGAAAAGCAGCAGGUUAAUACCCCGCUGUUCUGACGGUACCCAAAGAAUAAGCACCGGCUAACUUCGUG
rnacentral:rRNA from 1 species